UCCGGGGGCGGCGGAGCGAGCGGCGGAGGUUGCGCGGGUGCGGCGCGGCUGGAGCGGCGGCGGUGCCGACCUGCGCUUCUCCCGGGUUUUGGGGUUUUUUUCCUUUCUUUUUUUUUUUUUUUUUUUCCUUUUUCUUUCCUUUUCCUGUACCUUAGAUGAAAAUGGCGAACCACUGACUUGGCGAACGUUUGAGAAGGCAGAGAUGGCAGGCUGUGCCGGAGGGGGGGGGCACGGAGUUGCGACGCCCAUCACCGCCGCCCACGCCGGGCAGCCUCUGCUAGGAGAACGGGCAGAAAUCGGGCAAAACCGGGCAGAAAUCGGGCAAAACCGGGCAGAAACCUGCCGGGCUGCGAACUUUCUCGGCGAGUAAAAACGGUGCCGCGGAGCGGGCGGAUGCUGCGGCGGAAACUGCGCUCCCGCGUAGGGAUUAUUCACGGUUUUAUUUAUUUUAUUUAUUUUUUUUUUUUUAAUUGUCAUGCCACAGAUCUACAACUGUACGUGCAAAUAAAAGCGAGAGCUCACGGAUACCGCUUUCCUUA